rnacentral:lncRNA from 1 species
GUCGGGGUUAGGGAGCAGGUAUGCAGACUGCAGAUGCGAAUCCUAGGAUUGCAAGGAACCAGGAUGAACAGCGUUGGGGUCUCUAAUGGAGUUGGGUGUGGGUCCUGACUUGAGUUCACAUCGAAAUUGCUCCAGAAGAAGAUGGCAGAGAACCAGCAGGAGAAAGACCGAUGGAGCCCUUGCCACCUCUCUCUUUGCAGAACAGCUCUGCCUUUCCCCCCCUGGGAAGAACCAAUGUGGCUUUGGAGCAGGGGGAAGAGUCGCCAUCUCUCUCACACCAGACGUGUGUUCUACUACUGCUCAUCGGAGGUACUCUGCUGAGAAGCCGUAUCAUCCAGGCCCAUGUCCUCCUGGCUUGCUCUCCGGCACAACACCCCCAGGUUCUCCUCCAUAGCCUCUGCCAGGCGUCCAUCUUGAAGCUGCCCCUGCUCUGGGCUGUCAGUGGGUUCACAUGGUUCUGAGAAGUGCUUCGAAAACAGAACAGAGACAGCUCAGCCUAGGCUUACUGCCUGGCUC